UUAUAUGGUGAAAAUUAGAGACGGCAAACUCUUGGCUGGUGCACAAAAAAGCCUUGCAACACGCAAACACAAAAAAAACGGACCGGUGACGUGUGUGUGUGUGUGUGUGUGUGUGUCUCACCUUAUCCUGCAGCCUUUGAACAUGCCUGUGUCCACGAGGUAAGGACACACCAGGGUCAUGUUAAUUCCGUCCUUCUCCGAGGCCUUCAGCUCAUGGCUCAGCGAUUCGUGGAAGCCGAUGGCCCCGAACUUGCUGGCGCAGUAAUCCUUGAUGGACAGUAGGAGAAGGAUAUGGUGUGAAAUGCUGAGAAAAAAAGGAUGAGGUGUUGCCCGUCCGCCCCCGCCACUUUCAUGACAAGCAGUAAGCCUGUCAUAUAAAAGCAGUUGGGACGUCUGGUCAAAGAAAUCCACCCUCUGUAAACAGAACUAGAGGGAGCGUGGUACCAGAUAGCGGGAAUCCACACAGAUGGGGGAGUGACGGCCUCGUUAAACCCGCAUCAGACCAGACUGAAACGCAGCAUCUGCUGACGUUUGGCCAGGUAAAGAAACGUGGAAGCAUUAGGUGGAACUACUCAAGACUCCCAACAGCUGCACUUUUCCAGGGCAUAAAUUUCAAACUGAUAAUCGAGGUGGUCUGAGCGAGCCAGAAUGGCGGGUGGACGAGGGAGGAUGUUGCGUGCAAGUGUAGCAUUAAGUGAACAUAUGCCCUUUUCCACUUGAGAACUUUGGAAAGCAGGAACUGGAUGGCUCCAACUAAAAACACCAGCGUCUGUCCUGCCUCUCAUGGCAGCUCCCGGCAUGCAGCCGUGACCUCUGCUGACCUAUCGGACACAAAAUGUGUGAAGGCAACCGGGGGGCUCGUGUCUUACAUCAGAGCUGGGUCGUAAUUGGGCCUCAGCGUUCCUCUUGUUCCGCUAAAUUACCCGCAGACACAAGACAGGGCCCUCCUCGGCUUAUGUCGGGUGGCUCCCUCCCCGCCCCGCCGCACCACCUAAUUGCACUUGGUCUGCACAAAGCUGCUCGCACCUGGGAUGUCAGGCUGCAUUACCGACAGGAAUAUGAACAAAAUAUUGGCGCCCCGAGUCGGGCCAGAUGGCCUAAUAAUUAGGCUGACUUCUCCAGGACAUAAUGAAGCAAGAAAAUGGCAGAGUUCGCUUUUUCACAAACAUCUCACCUGACAGAAGACCACCAAAGACUGGUACUGAUCACUUAGACUAUGUCUACACUAAGCCGGAUAACCCCUUAAACUAAUAAUUAUUUAGCCUAAGCCUCGUUUCACUAAUCUAUUGUUUAAGGUCCCCCUCCUCGGACAAUUUUUUAGUGAAGUGAAGUGAAGUGAAUUAUAUUUAUAUAGCGCUUUUUCUCUAGUGACUCAAAGCUCUUUACAUAGUGAAACCCAAUAUCUAAGUUACAUUUACACGAGUCAUCCAGACAUGCCCGUGUUUCUCCUUCUUCUAAAUGUACAGACGCUUGUGGAAAUCACACAUGACUACCUUAAAUGAAGGAAACGCACGAUUGCAGCUAUUUCGGAUACAACACAUCUCAGACGGCAAGAGAACUUUCGAAUGUCUGGGUCAGCUGUGAUUCUACUUACCAAAAAACUUAGUCCCUUCCUCCCGUGGAUGUGAUAAAAAAGGUAGCGUGUGCUUUGUAUUACCUGGCCGUCGAAUAAAGACGACGGAAAACAUUGAAUGCAUUUGGACUGGCAAAGCAGAUCGUAUCAGUUAUUGUCCGCCAUGUAAGUCGUGGAUUCAACGUCUAGGUCCAGAGUAUAUAAAGUCACCAAAAACGAAUGGACAAUGAAGGUGAAGGCAAAAGAGUGAGGAGUGUCCUGACCAGAUAUCUAGAUCCCUAGCUUGAUUGUUGUAAAAUGUUCUUUGGCACAUUGUAUACUUUUACAUGUCCAUUAAAUAUUUGAUUAAUUUAUGAUGGCUCAGGUGUGAUUCACUACAAUAGGGCCCCACAGCACACUGGAUUCCAGUUAUUUAAAUACCACAACACUGAAUAUUGUUCAGAUAA